CUUGGUCAUUUAGAGGAAGUAAAAGUCGUAACAAGGUCUCCGUUGGUGAACCAGCGGAGGGAUCAUUACCGAGUUUACAACUCCCAAACCCCUGUGAACAUACCUAUACGUUGCCUCGGCGGAUCAGCCCGCGCCCCGUAAAACGGGACGGCCCGCCCGAGGACCCCUAAACUCUGUUUUUAGUGGAACUUCUGAGUAAAACAAACAAAUAAAUCAAAACUUUCAACAACGGAUCUCUUGGUUCUGGCAUCGAUGAAGAACGCAGCAAAAUGCGAUAAGUAAUGUGAAUUGCAGAAUUCAGUGAAUCAUCGAAUCUUUGAACGCACAUUGCGCCCCCUGGUAUUCCGGGGGGCAUGCCUGUUCGAGCGUCAUUUCACCACUCAAGCCUCGCUUGGUAUUGGGCAACGCGGUCCGCCGCGUGCCUCAAAUCGACCGGCUGGGUCUUCUGUCCCCUAAGCGUUGUGGAAACUAUUCGCUAAAGGGUGCUCGGGAGGCUACGCCGUAAAACAAACCCAUUUCUAAGGUUGACCUCGGAUCAGGUAGGGAUACCCGCUGAACUUAAGCAUAUCAAUAAGCGGAGGA
rnacentral:rRNA from 1 species